GGAUGCCAGCUCUCUGACCCCAGGAGGUUGGAUUGGGCUGGAGAGUGUUCACUCCAGCCUCCUGGCCUUUGCUCAAGCUGUCCUUUGCCUGGGAUACCCAAUUCCUGUUCUCAAGCACAUUUGUCUUGAAGAAAAAUGAUGUGCCGAACUGCGCAGAUGGAAAUUUCGAGCAAUGAGAAAGAUUAAAGUGAAACCCCACUCCUUAGACCUAAUCAUGAGUUGUAGAUUAUUCUGUCGGCCCAGCCAGAUGGUAGCUCUGAUUCCACAGCCCCUUCUUAUAUUAAUGAAUACUCGACUGUUAUAUUUGACUUAGGCUUCUCAUCUGUAACUGGUGAAGCCCGGAAGAGCUUGUUGUUCAAGAGGAAAUCUUGUGUUACUUCUUUAUGAAGGACUCCAGCCUGGUGGAGAUGAAUGAGUCCUGAAGAUGGAAUCGAAGCUGUUUGGGCACAAUACUUUAAUCAGCAUUUAAUGACCCAGUCGAAAAUUCAUUGUUUGGACCCAAGCACUGGUGGGAAAGGCAGGAGGGGAGGCCUGCCUUCCUUCCUCCCU
rnacentral:lncRNA from 10 species